GGCGGAAACGCUCCCUCUUUUUCCCGCAGAGUCGGUGGUGAGCAGUCGUGUCUCCCUCCACGUCUCUCUAUUGAACGAUGGCUUCUUCUAGAAUCAUCGCUGUCUUCUGUGGUGCAGGAAUGCAUAUGGCAGUGGCUUAUUUUGGCAAUGGUUGGCACACUUGACGAAGUAAUGUGAGGGUGUCGGGUCAGGCAAACUACAACUCUGAUCUACCCAUGUAGAUCGUAAGUUGCUUCAGAAAGCUGUGAUGAUGGGAGAUGUUCCUUAAUUAUUCCUCAGUCCUGUGUUGAUCAUGAGAUUGGCAGGCAGCUCUAAAAGAGCAGGAAAACAAGUGCUGGCUUCACCUUCAUCCUGGUGCUGGCCAGUCAACCAAUCAGACGGCCGUAGGAAACGUCAUGAAAGUGUUCCUGGAGCUGAUGGAUUACCAUCAUACUAGACUCAUUUGCAGUUUUUUUUCAUAACGAUUUGCUUCAAUGUACAUCACUGUUUUUAGCUGUAUGUGGCUAUUAACCUAUUGACAGCAACUCUUAUACCACUGCGUUACAUCUUUGUCUGUACUGAGUGAGUGUACAACUGUAAAUAAAUAAAAAUAAUACAACUAUA